rnacentral:lncRNA from 1 species
GAAAAGACAGGGCUUAGGAGAUACUGGUCACAGAGCUGAUAUAGGAGGCUGGGGCGGGGUGCUCCUGGGACAACAGCCUGGGGCUGAGAGGGCUCCCUCUUUCAACCCUAGGCUUCGGGAGGCACUCAUCACUACCCAAGCGGACAACCUGAUCUUGGGGGAGAAGCUGCAAAACCUGGUGAGACCCCCAGCCCAGACCCCUUUGUCUUGCCUCCUCCUUGCCUCCCAGCCCAGCUCCCGCUGCUCAGUACCCACCUGAGGCCCUGCACCCCUGUGUUCCAGCCUACUGUGUUGUACCAGACCCUGCAGAAGGAAAUGGGCCUGGGAGGAGGAAGCAGAGGUAAUCCAGGAGGAAGCCCUGCCCUGGUGGAUGGCUGAGUCCUCCCCGCCACACCCCUUUUUCUACAGCCUCCCCUCUCCCUGAAGGCAGUGCUGCUGGUCCCGCCAUCCAACCUCCCCACAGAGGAACCAGAAUCAGAGCUAGCAAGUCCUGAUGCCAAAGGCUGGGCACUUUAUCCGAAGCCACUUAAUCAUCCAGCAACUCUUUAGAUCUCAGCAAUAAACUUCCCAGCUGAAAUAACGCCACCAUGUGUCCAAGGGCCUGGGACUUGGGUGGGAGCAAGCAGCCCCCAGCUCUGAAGUGAGCCAGUGUCUGGACCACCCCCUGACUUCCUCAACCUCUUGUUCCCUGAUCUGCCCCCUACAUACAUGGCCCUGCCCUUAGACUCAGAGGUGAUGUUCCUGUGGUGAGCAUUGGGGUGGGACAGGAAGAGGGACUGCAUUUCCUCCCCAGGGAGAUCCAGGCACCUGCUUUAACUCCAAAGUGCAGAAAGAUUUGAGGAAGUGGUAGAAAGAGCCAAUACACAUCUUGUGACCUUGGAUC